CGAGUUGUUUGGGAAUGCAGCUCAAAAUGGGUGGUAUAUUUCAUCUAAAGCUAAAUAUUGGCCAGAGACCGAUAGCGCACAAGUAGAGUGAUCGAAAGAUGAAAAGCACUUUGGAAAGAGAGUUAAACAGUACGUGAAAUUGUUGAAAGGGAAGCGCUUGCAAUCAGACUUGCACCUGGUGUUCAUCGGGGAUUCGUUCCCCGUGUACUUCAUCAGGUUCAGGCCAGCAUCGGUUUGGGUGGUUAGAUAAAGGCCUUGAGAAUGUGGCCCUCUUCGGGGGGUGUUAUAGCUCUCGGUGCAAUGUAGCCUACCUGGACCGAGGACCGCGCUUCGGCUAGGAUGCUGG
rnacentral:rRNA from 1 species